rnacentral:rRNA from 1 species
UACGUAGGAGACGAGCGUUGUCCGGAGUUACUGGGCGUAAAGGGCGCGCAGGCGGCCGCCCGCGUGUGUGGUGAAAGCUCCUGGCUUAACUAGGAGAGGUCCAUGCAGACGGGGUGGCUUGAGCGUCGGAGAGGGGCAUGGAAUUCCGGGUGGAGCGGUGAAAUGCGUAGAGAUCCGGAGGAACACCAAUGGCGAAGGCAGUGCCCUGGGCGACGGCUGACGCUCAGGCGCGAAAGCGUGGGGAGCAAACAGG